GAGCGCCUACGGGGGGCAGCAGUCGGGAAUAUUGCGCAAUGGAGGAAACUCUGAUGCAGCGACGCCGCGUGAGUGAAGAAGUAUUUCGGUAUGUAAAGCUCUAUCAGCAGGGAAGAUAAUGACGGUACCUGACUAAGAAGCCCCGGCUAACUACAUGCCAGCAGCCGCGGUAAUACGUAGGGGGCAAGCGUUAUCCGGAUUUACUGGGUGUAAAGGGUGCGUAGGUGGCAGGGCAAGUCAGAUGUGAAAGCCCGGGGCUCAACCCCGGUACUGCAUUUGAAACUGUCCAGCUGGAGUGCAGUAGA
rnacentral:rRNA from 1 species